GAGAUUUCUUAAACUGGACCUGGCAACCCUACCACUGAGGUCCCUCCCCAACCCCAAACGUCCAGAAAUUUUCCAACCCUGAGUUGCCAACCCUGCCUCAGACUGCAGCGCAGAGAUCGAUUCUCCUGGAGCAAACGGCUGCUUUGGAGGGUAAGGUUUCCAGGAGAGAGAGAGAGAGAGAGAAUGUCCCCAAAUCAGAAUUCCAUCCAAUGCAGAGAAGUUCUCCUAGAGAGAAAACCUAUUGCUUGCUUUGACCACAAGCACAUUUUUCACAGGUGAAGACAUUGCACCGACAGCAGCAGGAAAUACAGUUUUAAAAGGAAAACAGCUUUAAAAAGAAAA